CUACGGGCCGCAGCAGCGAGGAAUAUUGCACAAUGGGGGGAACCCUGAUGCAGCAACGCCGCGUGGAGGAUGACGCAUUUCGGUGUGUAAACUCCUUUUAUAUGUCAAGAAAAUGACGGUAGCAUAUGAAUAAGCGCCGGCUAACUCCGUGCCAGCAGCCGCGGUAAUACGGAGGGCGCAAGCGUUACUCGGAAUCACUGGGCGUAAAGGACGCGUAGGCGGGUUGAAAAGUCAGGUGUGAAAGCCUACAGCUUAACUGUAGAACUGCACUUGAAACUCUCAAUCUAGAGUAUGGGAGGGGCAGAUGGAAUUAGUGGUGUAGGGGUAAGAUCCGUAGAUAUCACUAGGAAUACCUAAAGCGAAGGCGAUCUGCUGGAACAUUACUGACGCUAAGGCGUGAAAGCGUGGGGAGCAAACAGGAUUAGAUACCCGGGUAGUC
rnacentral:rRNA from 1 species